UCCUGUUUAACAAAAACAUGUCUUUUUGAUUAUAAUAUAAAGUCUGGCCUGCCCACUGAAUUUUUAAGGGCCGCAGUAUAUUGACUGUGCGAAGGUAGCAUAAUCAUUUGCCUUUUAAUUGAAGGCUAGAAUGAAUGGUCGAACGAAAUACAAACUGUCUCAUUUUUAUAAUUUAAUAAUUUAGCUUUCUAGUUAAAAGGCUGGAAUUCUAUUAAAGGACGAGAAGACCCUAUAGAACUUUAUAAUGAUUAAUUUAAUUAAUUAUAGAAGAAAAAUAUUAUUAUAUUAUAAGUUAUUUUGUUGGGGUGACAUAAAGAUUAAAUAAACUCUUUUUAAAAUUUUACAUAAAUUAAUGAAUAUUUGAUCCAUUAUUAUUGAUUAUUAGAAUAAGUUACCUUAGGGAUAACAGCGUAAUUUUAUUGGAGAGUUCAUAUCGAUAAUAAAGUUUGCGACCUCGAUGUUGAAUUAAAGAAAUUUUAGA
rnacentral:rRNA from 1 species